rnacentral:rRNA from 1 species
UACGGAGGGUGCAAGCGUUAUCCGGAUUUACUGGGCGUAAAGGGCGCGUAGGCGGUAGCACAAGUCAGUUGUGAAAUCUCCGGGCUUAACUCGGAAAGGUCAACUGAUACUGUGCGACUAGAGUGCAGAAGGGGCAACUGGAAUUCUCGGUGUAGCGGUGAAAUGCGUAGAUAUCGAGAGGAACACCUGCGGCGAAGGCGGGUUGCUGGGCUGACACUGACGCUGAGGCGCGAAAGCGUGGGGAGCAAACAGG